GGGGCUGGGAGUCACUCACGCCCCUGAAUAGUGAGGGGGUGAGGAAACACCGUGCACCCCGCGGCAGCGCGACCCCGUAAGGGGUACGGGUAGUCCCCGUGGCAACGGCACAGAAACGGUACGGCCACUAUGAGAUGGCUAUGACGCGGCCCAGUCCCCGGCAACGGGGAUUGUAAACCGCCGAGGACCAUAGUGGAGGCGUUGAAACGGCCGUCCCGCGCGGUGCAAGGCCCGGAUCCGAGAUGUGGUGCCGCGCGAUCGGUGCGGGCCGCUUAGACGAAUGUGAGUAGACAGAACACGGGUUAUUCCCAGCCCC
rnacentral:RNase_P_RNA from 1 species